GGGACUGUGGCUCAGUGGCAAAGCAUCCGCCUUGCCUGCAGAAGGUCCUGGGUUCAAUUCCCAGCACUUCCA